CGAAGAGUGAAACAAAAGAUUGAAAGAAGGGGCAAGACUUUGCCAAGAAGGAAUGAAGGACCAACAAAGGCAUCUCAGAGAAGAAAGAGGAAACAACAAGGAGCAGCUGACAAAGGAGAGUAUCAAAAACAGGGGGUUGCUACUGUUGGUAAUCUAAUUUGGCAAGGAUGGCAGCGAGUUGAGCGUUGAUGGAGUCAAAACGGGCAUGAUUUCUUUGAUCCAUUUGUGCCAAGGCCAACUAAAUUCCGUCCAGGCACUUUAGGACGGGAUCAACUGGCUAUUCCUCGCCUGCCUCAUCCUCGUCCAUGGUGGCUUCUACAUCAUCCAUCGGUGCCCCGCCCAGCUCAUUAACUUUUAGCCAGGUGUUGGUGUCCUCAUCUCGCUCCAAGAAAAC